ACUCAUCUGUGAGCUCUAAGCAUAGUGACUGGGAUACAGCAGAUAUUCAAUAAAUGUUUACCGAAGAAAUGAAUAAACUACAACACUGAGAGACCUACUCCAGCAAGUGGAAUGACCUUGGAAAGGAACAAAAACUUCCAUUUGGAACUCUGUUUUCCCACAGUGGAUUAUUUUGUGGAGGUAUCAAAUCUGGACUAGCUGUGCUACACAACAGUGAGUGAUCAUGGAGCUGUUUAUCCCACUAGCUUACCAGAUGAGAGCAGAAUGGUGCCAUUCAUCAAGACAAGCGACAAUUAAAGAAGACCAGGUUUAUUACAAUAAAUACCACUGAAUGCCUACCAUGGGCCAAGCACUGAGGAUUCUGAAAGAAAGAUAAGUAUGUAGAUAAGUCUCAUAUAAUAGGAUAAAAACCAUAACAAGGUUAAGCACAGAAAGAAAAGAUGCUCAUGCCAACAAUGGGGUAGAGUAGGGAAGAGAUGGAUGGAGAAGACUUUCAGGAUUUUGUAACUAUAUAAAAUUAUUUUAAUAAGAAAAGAAUUCUAAUCUGCCAAAUGAGGGAACUAUCUCUACUUCGAAGGAAUGCUACCCGAAAAGUGGGUGGGGCUACAGUUGCUGCCUAUUUUUUUAAACUUUGCAUUUAAAAUAAUUUUACUUUUAAAUUGUUAUUUACCAUUUUUUUAAAUUUAAAAUUUAUUAUUUUUCUUUUUUCUUUUUUUGUUUUAAAAAGACAGGGUCUCAGUGUGUUGCCCAGGCUGAAGUGCAAGUGGCAUGAUCACAGCUCAUCGUAGCUGUGAACUCUUGGGCUUGAGUGAUUCUCCUGUUUCAGUCUCUCAAGUAGCUGGCACUACAGGUGCAUGCCACCAUUUCUCAGCCAAUUUUUCCUUUUUUUGCAGAGAUGACGACUCAUUAUGUUGUCCGGGAUAGUCUUGAAUUCCUGGCCUCAAGUGAUCCUCCUGAGUGCCUCAGCCUUCCGAAGUGUUGGGAUUACUAGUGUGAACCAUUGCACCUGGCCUGGCAUAAUUUUAGAUAUACAGAAAAGUUGCAAAUAUAGUACAAAGAAUUCCUAUAUACCGUCCAUUUAGUUUUCCCUAAGGUUAACAUCCUAUAUAACCAUGGCAUAUUUGUCAAAAAUCAAAAUAUUUCCAGUUGGGGAAAUAGGAAGAAGCACUCAGGUGGAGUUUUGUGUCCCUUUCACUGUUGCUUUCGUUCUCUAAGCCUGCAGUAUGAAGGAUGCCUUCUCAGGACUUUUUUUUUUUUUUUGCAGUAGGGAAGGGUAGGAGAAACUGCCUGGUGGGACUGUGAUAAAAGAGCCUGCAAGAGGGUAUAAAAUCUCCAUAUAUCUAAGGCCAUCUGGGGCUUCACUUUCUCUUGCCAGCCCACACUCAGCCUCUACCAACUUAUUAACUAUCUAGCCCAGUUAUUCUUAUGGCAUUCAUGAGUCAACCUUAUGUAAGCAAGUGCUCAUGUUCCUUUUUUCCUACCAAGCAUCUAUCUCUGCUUACAUUUCUGGCUAUUUGGUUGUCUUUCCACUUCAGUUCUCUGGCAGAUUCAAGAAAAAUCAUAAGCUUGCAGUUUUCCCAGCUUUAUUGUUGUUUCAGAGGUGAAAGUGAUGCUCUUUCCAGCUUUCUAGGCUCCAAAUGGAAACUGGAAGUCCUAUGUUGUUUUUAAUCCUAGAAUUUGGGUCUAAAAAGUUCUCAAGGGCAAUCUAGUUCAUUCUUUAUUUUACAAGUGAGAAUACUAAAGCUCUAAAAGAAAUAACUGACUUUUGAAUACUUAGUGAUGGAGUCAGGGCAAUUCUACUUAUUACAAAGUGACUCAGUGUGUGUGUGUGUAUAUAUAUAUAUAUCUCAUAUAUCACACUACUUAUAGAUAUAGAGUAGAUAUAUAUUUACUUAUUUACACAGUGACUCAGUAUUUGGGGUGACAUAUAGGAAAUCCCAGACAUUAAAAAAGUAGAGAUAAAAUAAAAUGAGACACAAGGACCAGUUAUAAUAUAAAGUUGAAUCAGAGUGGGAGGAAUACAAGGAUAAAAAUUCAUGAAAGCAGAUUAUAAAUGUUACAUGCAAUUGUACAGUUGAACCAUAAAUUGGUGGCAAAUUUCCAGAUGGCCAAAGUGAAAAGGGAAAGAUUAUUUUAUAGUUUAUCAAUUAGGGGAAUACACACACACACACAGACACACACACACACACACACACACAUCUCAAGUCAACAGAAGCAUUUCCUAGUGCUAAAUUAAGAAGUUUCUCUUAUGUGGCUUCAUACAGGGACAACUAAGAAAUAUAAUGAGGCAAUACUUUCAAUGACAACCCUGUAGCAAAAGUAUUGUCUAAGUUUAUACAAAUGCUGGAGUUAGACCCUGGAUGGAAGUGUUCAGUCUUCAAAUCUAAAUCUAUUUACCCCACCAUGCAGUCUAUACUACAGCAAUUCCCUAGAAUGAUGUCUAUUAUGCAAACUGCUAAUGAGCACUGGUGACUCAGUUACUAUCAAAAUAGGCAUGUCUGGAGUUACAAAACUUUCAAAUUGUAAGAGACCUCAUCAACUUGUCCCAUCAUCUCAUUUUGGAAAUGAAACAGAACACAAUAAAUACUUUCAUGUGGAAAAAUAUAUAUUAAGUAUAGGCAAGUUAAAUUCCUAUCUAGUUUAAAAAGAAGUCUUAAAACCCAGCCAAUAUAAGAUAUUCUCUCUUUAGGAUGAUACUGAUGUCAAAAAUAGAACUUUAUAAAUAUUUUAAAAUAAUUCUCAGGAAUCAGAAGCAGAAUAAAAGGUAAACAAAAGCCAGCCACAAGUCUUCCUGCACUACUGACAAUUUACUGGAGUGAAAAAGGUCAAGAUCUAGACAAAAACUGAGAGAAACCAUGAAGAAAAAGAAAAUGAAGAGUUACUCAAGGGAUAAGAUUUCCUACAACCACUCAAACGAUACAGCUUCACAGUUCCAAGUUUCAAGUCUAUGAUGAAUUUUUAUUUAAUUGUGUACAUCAAGCGGAAAAUUAAUUUCUAAAUCUCUAAUUGGCCACCAAAGGCAGAGUGAGCUAGAAAAGACCUAAGCUAGGAAGUAAUACAUAUCUACAUAUACCAAAAACAUUUAAAGAGGCUCCAGUUCAUAAGACUAUAAUUAGAAAUAAGAGAUUCUCCUAAGACAAUAAUCUGAGUCUUGCUUUUAAAGAGUCCUGAUAGCACAGUGUCUGAAAAGACACAAGAUUCAUUUUUGAUCCUGCUCAAAUGUGUUUGCUGCUAAAAGUCCUGAAAGAUGACCUCUUUAUAAUAUAAUCUUACCUAAAGUGAGUCCUGCAUUAUGAACCCAGGAGACAGAAUUAGAGACUCUAGCUUUCUCUCUUUC